GUGCCAGCCGCCGCGGUAAUACCGGCAGCUCAAGUGAUGUCCCAUAUUAUUGGGCCUAAAGCGUCCGUAGCUGGCCGACCAAGUCUCCCGGGAAAUCCACCCGCCCAACGGGUGGGCGUCCGACGGAAACUGCACAGCUUGGGACCGGAAGGCUCAGAGAGUACGUCCGGGGUAGGAGUGAAAUCCCGUAAUCCCGGACGGACUACCGAUGGCGAAAGCACUCUGAGAAGACGGCUUCGACAGUGAGGGACGAAAGCUCGGGUCUCAAACCGGAUUAGAAACCCUAGUAGUCC
rnacentral:rRNA from 1 species